UAAUUAAUUUAUUUAAUUAUUUCAUGUUACGUGUGUUUCAGCACAUAAUUAAUUAAAUUAAUCUGUCAAUCUCACCCAUCAAAGUCAGUGGGCGGAACCACUGACGUAAACGGGCGGGACUAGUGCCAAUCUGGUGUUAUCGACUGCUUUGGUCUGAAGCGUAACACACCUCCUACAUGACAUGAAUGGAUCAGAGCCACUCUGGAAUGGAUCAAGGAGGAAAGCUGCUUCUAUUCGAAAUAUGACCAAAGAGGGUUGUGAUUGAUUGGGACUGUAGCGCUGUCAACAUUUCAAGUGAAAGGCUUAGAGUUUUAUCUUUAGGAAAAUGUAUUCGUAAAAUUAGCUUGUUGGCCAUGAAGUUUUAAAAGGAGUGGAUGCAUGUUGUCGAGAUACGUUGAUGGUUGAGGAUGACAGCUGUCUCCAAGUUCUUCUUGGCUUCCUCGCGGCCUAUCCACUACAAGGGCUCCGGGAACCAAAUCUCCUCAAUCAUCGUGUUAGUAGUUUGACACACUUUCUCACAGAAAUAAAAAGGGGAUACUGUGACCAAACCGGCCUACUGAUGUCCGUACAGACUACCCCUACACAAGACAAUGUCUGUCACAUUGGUGCCAUGACCGAGUUGGACCUUCGCCCAACCGGGAUCAUUCUGGACAUCAUCUGCGUUGUGAUAAUCAACAAAGCCUGACUGCCCACAACACCUGGAUCAGACAGCCAGUCCAAU